rnacentral:tRNA from 1 species
GGGGUUGUGGCUCAGUGGUAGAGCACUUGCCUAGCAUGUGCGAGGCGCUGAGUUCGAUUCUCAGCACCA